AUUGAACGCUGGCGGCAGGCUUAACACAUGCAAGUCGAGCGGAAACGAUGGGAGCUUGCUCCCAGGCGUCGAGCGGCGGACGGGUGAGUAACACUUAGGAAUCUACCUAGUAGUGGGGGAUAGCUCGGGGAAACUCGAAUUAAUACCGCAUACGUCCUACGGGAGAAAGGGGGCAACUUGUUGCUCUCGCUAUUAGAUGAGCCUAAGUCGGAUUAGCUAGUUGGUGGGGUAAAGGCCUACCAAGGCGACGAUCUGUAGCUGGUCUGAGAGGAUGAUCAGCCACACCGGGACUGAGACACGGCCCGGACUCCUACGGGAGGCAGCAGUGGGGAAUAUUGGACAAUGGGGGCAACCCUGAUCCAGCCAUGCCGCGUGUGUGAAGAAGGCCUUUUGGUUGUAAAGCACUUUAAGCAGUGAAGAAGACCAUAUGGUUAAUACCCAUAUGCGAUGACAUUAGCUGCAGAAUAAGCACCGGCUAACUCUGUGCCAGCAGCCGCGGUAAUACAGAGGGUGCAAGCGCUAAUCGGAAUUACUGGGCGUAAAGCGAGCGUAGGUGGCUUGAUAAGUCAGAUGUGAAAUCCCCGGGCUUAACCUGGGAACUGCAUCUGAUACUGUCAGGCUAGAAUAGGUGAGAGGAAGGUAGAAUUCCAGGUGUAGCGGUGAAAUGCGUAGAGAUCUGGAGGAAUACCGAUGGCGAAGGCAGCCUUCUGGCAUCAUAUUGACACUGAGGUUCGAAAGCGUGGGUAGCAAACAGG
rnacentral:rRNA from 1 species